CCUACGGGAGGCAGCAGUGGGGAAUUUUGGACAAUGGGGGCAACCCUGAUCCAGCCAUGCCGCGUGAGUGAAGAAGGCCUUCGGGUUGUAAAGCUCUUUCGGCCGGGAAGAAAUCGCUUCGGCUAAUACCUGGAGUGGAUGACGGUACCGGAAGAAGAAGCACCGGCUAACUACGUGCCAGCAGCCGCGGUAAU
rnacentral:rRNA from 1 species